CCCCUUUGAACUUGAACGGUGGCUCUCCUCUAGGUAAUAUCUCCUAUUCCCCUCCUUCUCCUUCCUUUCCAGAUGCUUGGUCUGCUAGGCUCCAGCAAUGGCGCGGAGUUUUGAUUCUUUAUGGAGAUUUCCUAUGGCUAUGAGAAAUUUGCUCCUUCAUGUGAAUGCGAGUGGCUGCACAUAUCCAUCCAGCGUCCUACCCAUGCAUCAGUAAAGUUGGGAACGUGAUUCUAUUGAAUGGCAGAUCGGACCGAGGCUAGGGCAUGCGUUCCAGCCGCAGAUUCUGCGUCCCCUAGCAGCGAGGCCGCGAGGCAAAGUGGUCGCCUGCGAGGUCACCGGAGAAUAUGAGAGAUCCGUUUCCUUGAGUGGUGCUGCUCUCUUGUUUGUGGCACUGGGCCGAGAGCUGUGCCGUCGGGUUCGACAGCCAUGUUCUUCAUAAUGUUCCUCGUCGUAUGUGGCACCGUAGUAGGGAUGGGUAUGACCGUCUUACUACUCUCUCAUCAUCCUUUGCAUUCUUCUCUUGUUGGGCACAGUAUAUAUGUACUUUAAAAGUUCAUUUACUUAGGCUGUGUUCGGCAAUAGUCUGCUCCUUCGCCAGGGAGCGAAGCCGGUGGAGCACCCAUCUGACCGCUCGCCAAAAUUGCACUGAGUGCCGCUCCGCUCCGCAGCGGAGAGAUUCCGAACGACCUUUUAGUUGAUCCAUUAAAUUUAUUCAGAGAUAAGGUUGAGUUACUUAGUUCUAUGAAAUUAUAAUUCAGACGAUAAGCUCAUACAUUUUGUUGUUCAUAUAAGGACAAUUUGUAGGAUAUAAAUUAUAGAGUUAUUUAUCUUGCCAUUGAUGUGCAUUGUGUUGCUUUAGGGAAUUGAGCUUCUAUAUUUUCUCAGUUGACAUUCUGCCCAACUUUGAUUAUUGUCUCUUGAACACGUCUAUAUUAAUUAUAUGAAGUGUAGUAUAGCAAACGGUGUUAAAUAUUUCUUUGUCUUGUAGAGAGUCCACAGGAGGAGGCAGGUCGUGGGCUUCCUAUUUGCUACUGUGGCAGCUUCCACCUAUGUAAUGUGCUACAACUUUGCAUCAUUCCUACUUUCUGCACACGGCUGAUUCGUCACAGGUAUGCUUCCCCUUAUAGUUGGAUAAAAGGUGUAUUCUUUCUAUUUGUUGUUACCAUAUAUUAGCAAGUUAUAUUAAUGAUAUGUGUUUUUAAGACAAAAGAAAAAGGCUUGUAUUUAUUAAGUGAAUUUGGACCAUAUGUGUUAAUUGAUAUGCAAUAGAGUUUCCGCAUGUGUUGUAGGUGAUGCCUAUAACACUGGAGCUUUUUUCAUUGUUCUCAUCAACUGAAAAGGCUAGGAUAGAAGAGCUGUUACCAAGAACAUAAAACUCACUAAAGUUCAUGUCUGAAUGUAUUUCAAAUAAUAACAACGUGACAUGCUUCUGAUAGUGCUAACGUUUGACCCUUAUAAUAAGUGCCCUCCUUAUAUUGAUCGAUGUCAUGUAUUCUUUCUAUAUCUCCGCAAACGUAAAUGGUUUACUUGGCGAUUCUCAUAUUUUCCAUUCAAUGAGUUCAGCAAUUUUGCUAUACCACUUUUAUUAGUGCAGAGUAUAUAUAAUAUAAAAGUUCCUAUUCAAAUUAGUAGAAUAUACUUACCAGGUGUUAGAAUUUCUAGAUAUAUACCACAAUCGUCGCACUAAUACUUGUCAGUUUCCUCUGUAGUUAGUUUUUAUCAAUUACAUGAUCAUUUGAACAUUUUUGUGUAACAGAUCUAUUAUAGCUAUUGUCGUGAAAAAUAAACUAAAGUUAGCAACCCGAAGAAACUGAUAGACAUAAAAUAAUAUAGAUAUGGUUCCAUUAUAACUGGUAUUACUCAGUUGUCACUACAGGCUUGAGAGUCUCGUUUUCCUCAAGAAGUGGUGAUAUCAUAUCUGAGAAGAAGUUUGAUGCAUUACCUAACUUUUCUGGGUUUUAUGCCACAUUCCAGUAAGUUCUCGUAAUGUUCUCCUUUUUUUAAAAUGUUUCUAGCGCUCCUAACGUAUUGCUAUCUAUCUUGAUCAUUUUUCAUAAACUUUCUUCUGUCGAGUGCCUGCAUAUAUGGAGUUAGUCGAGUAAAAAUAUAUAUGUUACAUUGAUGAAUAAACAUGAAUCAUGAAUCAUUUGUUGAUCAAUAAUAAAAGAUAGUGUUCCAUAACUGAAAGGAAGUUCUCAAGUUUUGGCUAUGCAUAGAACUGCAUAUAUUCUUGAGGCACUGGCUGACUUUAGGCACAACCUUAUUAAACUUAUGACAAAACUAUUAGAUUUGUUUGUAAAUUACAGAGGGUCAUGUAACAUUAUUGGACUUACUGUUUGAAUUUCUAGGCCAUUGUUUAGGCCACAAUAAUUACAUCCUCCUUUGAAAAAUAAGCAAACAUUCCACAUAGUCUCGCUCUGGUUUCAUCACCCCUAAAGAGGUCAAGCUUGAAAAGUGUUAAUCUUAGCCUCAAUGGUGGAAUUCUAAUUAAAGUUUCAGUAUGCAUUAUGCACUUGCUCUAUUUAGAAGCAGUCGUGUGGUAAUAUGAAGUUUUUUUUUUGUUACUAUCGAUUCGACAUGCUUCAUUUGGGUGAAUAAUCUAAUGACAUGCAAAUUUGGAGAUUAGUUUCUUCACGGUUAGAAAUAUUAAUUAUAUUAUUUCAAACUAUAAAGUAUAGACAUACCUAAGCAUUGUUUAACUUUAUCUCCCUGUUUUUGCGUCGUGUCCUUGGUAGCAAACUCAGAGUUGUAAUCUUGAAAACAUUCUGAUGGCCCUUUCACCCCCGUAACCUUUGUAUUGUACGCAGAAAAAGUAACUUCAUUUCUCAAUGGGUGAUGCUUUGUGGAUUCCACAACCCGAAAAAAUAAUUUCGUUUCUCAAUGGGUGAUACUCUGUGGAUUCCACAACUCUAAAAGUGUUGUAUGCAUAAAUAGAAUUUACAUUUUCUUUCAUCAGUAUAAGUGUAUCAAAUUCCUCUGGGUAGUUGUGUGAUGUUUUAAUGUUGAUAGUCACAUGAAUUGUUUGGGCAUGUCAAAGCAAGCAAAAUAUUAUUAGCAAUUGUUUGUCUAAAACAGUAGAACAAUCUGCAAAUGAAUAUGUAAUGAAUAAAAAAUUUCAUCCAUCAAAAUCAUAUCGAGGCUAAUGAGCUUAUCGGUUUUAAUCCCGCAUUCUCAGUACUUUAACUUGAAUGUUCUAGUUUGUCAUGUUGUUGGUAAGCAUUAUGCUUCUUGCACACCAUAGUUUUUUGGCUGCAAAAGGAGUCAAAAAUUGUUAGUCAGUUGCCAAUGCAUCUUUUCUCCUGAUAAGUGAAUUAAUUAAAAUAUUUAUAGACCUUGAUGAUUCAGUGAGAGGCAGCUCUGAAGAUAUGUCCUGACUUCGUCGGUCGUCCUGAUGCGGUCACAUUGCAGUUUCGGCUGUUUGUCUGGCAUCGCAGAACUCAAAUUUGUUGGUGGUGCUCUGGUCGGGUAGCAGAUUUGUUCUGCAGUCUUCGAUUUUAUUGGUGUUACGCUGCCCGGGUAGUAGAUUUGUUGUGCAGUCUUCAAUUUUGUUGGUGGUUCUCUUCCUGGGUAGUAGAUUUCGGAAGACCUCGAUUUUGUUGGUGGUGCUUUGGUCGGGUAGCAGAUUUGUAGACUUUGAUAUGUCCAGAAUUGGUUGACUCCGACUCUUGGGCGUCUGUUGGAUGUGGUCGGCCGAGUGUCUUUCUAUUUUGUUGCCUUGGCUGACUCCAUCUAGAGUUUCUUUUUAUCUAGAGUCCAUGUGGAGACGUGGAGUUCUAUUGAUUGAGUCCCUCCAGAUAGGACGGACCGGAUCAAGAAUUUGUACGUGUGUUGUUAAAAAAAGAAUUUAUACGUGUCCUAUGUCAACACGUUUCCGCACUUUUGUUUAUUUCCGAGUUCCUUGUCUAUACUUGUACGUUGUCCUUCUAAUCAGGCACAUCCGGACAUGUGAAUCCGAUUGAUAUGAGUUUGUGCCCAAGGGAUGUACACGUGCCUUUUUUAUUGGAAAGGCUGUAUACGUGACACAUUAUAGCAAUAGUUGUACAUGAAUAAUAUUGUGCGGUAACUUUCAGACGUUUACCUUUUUUUUUUCUGUUUUUUCUAAAGGUCCUAUUGCUAUCGUGACAACGUAAAAGUUCAAUACCACUGGUGCAUAUAUUUUACGAUGUUACGUAAAAAUCUUUAAAUCUUACCCGUUGUUAUUCUAAUCGAACGGUGUAAACAAUAUUAGCAUAUGUGGAUGAACAUGAUGGCUUAUUUGACUCUUGUUUUAAGUAUCUAAUAUAAUAAUAUAAUAGAUAGAUAGAUAAUAGAUAAUAGAUAGAUAAAUAGAUAGGCAUAAGUAUUGUGACAUAAUGUGUAAUAACAACCCAUAAUGUAAUAAAUUUCAAUAUAAAAGCAUGAUGCAAAAUGGACGUAUCAAAGCUUCGGCGCACUCCUACUUGGCGCGCCAAAUGUCGGAUUCUGGGUUUCGGCAAACCCUUAAGGUUUGAACUCUCUCUCCCUAGCUCGCUCACUCAACGAUCUCACGACCUAGCUUGUCGAACCCAAAGAACAAGAGACACGAGGGUUUAUAUUGGUUGGGGUUAUCGUUGUGGUGUAAUACCCUACUCCAGUGUGGUGGUGGUGGAUUGCCUCGUAGGCUUGGGAUGAACAAGUACAAGGUACGAACAGCCUCCUGAGGAGAGGUGUUCUUGAGCUCGGUGAACUGGUGCGUGUGAGGGUGGUCUGGAUGAUCCGCCCCCCUAUGGUGGUGGCUAGUCCUAUUUAUAGAGGCCCGGAUCCUCUUCUGAAAUAUUAGGCGGGAAGGGAUCCCACAACGGCCAAGUUUGAAG
rnacentral:lncRNA from 1 species